UCGUUAGUCUCGCAGAGUUGAGUCAGUGCUCUUCCUCUGCGUUGCACACACAGGGGAUAGCCACUCUCUGGUUAGGGUGGGACAGACAGCCCGGAGGAGGCUAUGGGUCUCGCCUCACCCAGUCUCCCGUUAGAGGGCACUGAUCAGGGCGCAGAAGCCUGUUGAAGCCAGAUUUGAGGCCACAGUGGCGCGCCCAUGAGGAAACUCCUAGGACUCACAGGCGAGAACAUAGGCGGGUGGAAAACGAGCAGUUUCAUCCAUGAAACUACCAAGAGCUUACCAAGCCUGUGCAUUUCUAAGUUGGGGCUUCUCGGAGAAUCCAACGAGGAGUCUUGGGGGAAGCAUGCCAGCUGCCGGGAGGCUGGGACCUGGCACCUCUCUCGGUCUUGCCAGAAGUAGCUUUCUUCUGACACACCCAGGAAGAAUGGUGGCGGCGCCUUGGAGACGAGCCAGGAGCCAAAGUCAUAGAACAGGCCAGGGUCUGGCCACCUGUGGACCACCUGUCUCUGCCCAUGACCAAAGACCAUGAGGAACAAA